rnacentral:tRNA from 1 species
GAGAUGGCUCAGUGGUUAGAGCACUGGCUGCUCUUCCAGAGGACCUGGGUUCAAAUCCCAGAACUCA